rnacentral:rRNA from 1 species
UGAGGAAUAUUGGUCAAUGGGCGAGAGCCUGAACCAGCCAAGUAGCGUGCAGGAUGACGGCCCUAUGGGUUGUAAACUGCUUUUAUGUGGGGAUAAAGUGCGUGACGUGUCAUGCAUUGCAGGUACCACAUGAAUAAGGACCGGCUAAUUCCGUGCCAGCAGCCGCGGUAAUACGGAAGGUCCGGGCGUUAUCCGGAUUUAUUGGGUUUAAAGGGAGCGUAGGCUGUCUAUUAAGCGUGUUGUGAAAUUUACCGGCUCAACCGGUGGCUUGCAGCGCGAACUGGUCGACUUGAGUAUGCAGGAAGUAGGCGGAAUUCAUGGCGUAGCGGUGAAAUGCUUAGAUAUCAUGACGAACUCCGAUUGCGCAGGCAGCUUACUGUAGCAUAACUGACGCUGAUGCUCGAAAGUGCGGGUAUCAAACAGG